UACGGAGGGUGCGAGCGUUGUCCGGAAUCAUUGGGCGUAAAGGGCGCGUAGGUGGCGCGGUCAGUUCGUGGUGAAAGCGCGGGGCUCAACCCUGCGUCGGCCAGGGAUACUGCCGCGGCUCGAGCACUGUAGAGGCAGGCGGAAUUCCGGGUGUAGUGGUGAAAUGCGUAGAUAUCCGGAGGAACACCAGUGGCGAAGGCGACUUUCUGGCCUGUUCUUGACGCUGAGGCGCGAAAGCUAGGGGAGCAAACGGG
rnacentral:rRNA from 1 species